GGAUCCAGACUUUGAUCAUGGCUCAGGAUGAACGCUAGCUACAGGCUUAACACAUGCAAGUCGAGGGGAAACGACAUCGAAAGCUUGCUUUUGAUGGGCGUCGACCGGCGCACGGGUGAGUAACGCGUAUCCAACCUGCCCACCACUUGGGGAUAACCUUGCGAAAGUAAGACUAAUACCCAAUGAUAUCUCUAGAAGACAUCUGAAAGAGAUUAAAGAUUUAUCGGUGAUGGAUGGGGAUGCGUCUGAUUAGCUUGUUGGCGGGGUAACGGCCCACCAAGGCUACGAUCAGUAGGGGUUCUGAGAGGAAGGUCCCCCACAUUGGAACUGAGACACGGUCCAAACUCCUACGGGAGGCAGCAGUGAGGAAUAUUGGUCAAUGGACGAGAGUCUGAACCAGCCAAGUAGCGUGCAGGAUGACGGCCCUAUGGGUUGUAAACUGCUUUUAUAAGGGAAUAAAGUGAGUCUCGUGAGGCUUUUUGCAUGUACCUUAUGAAUAAGGACCGGCUAAUUCCGUGCCAGCAGCCGCGGUAAUACGGAAGGUCCGGGCGUUAUCCGGAUUUAUUGGGUUUAAAGGGAGCGUAGGCCGGAGAUUAAGCGUGUUGUGAAAUGUAGACGCUCAACGUCUGCACUGCAGCGCGAACUGGUUUCCUUGAGUACGCACAAAGUGGGCGGAAUUCGUGGUGUAGCGGUGAAAUGCUUAGAUAUCACGAAGAACUCCGAUUGCGAAGGCAGCUCACUGGAGCGCAACUGACGCUGAAGCUCGAAAGUGCGGGUAUCGAACAGGAUUAGAUACCCUGGUAGUCCGCACGGUAAACGAUGGAUGCCCGCUGUUGGUCUGAAUAGGUCAGCGGCCAAGCGAAAGCAUUAAGCAUCCCACCUGGGGAGUACGCCGGCAACGGUGCAACUCAAAUGAAUUGACGG
rnacentral:rRNA from 1 species